rnacentral:lncRNA from 1 species
UUUUCUUCAAAUGCACUAAUCGUCUCCGGUCUCUCCAUGACAUCUUUACUUCUCAUUCACACUCCUUUCUCUGGGUAUCACUUCAUAACUCUUCAAGCUUCUUGCAAGUUGUUCUUGUUAAUUCUCAUCAAGACAACUAAAAAUGUGUAAGUCAAUCCAAAUUAAAGUCAAUUGGUAAUUUUUUAUAUAAAAAAUUUGAACAAAUUGGAAAUUUAUUUAUGACGACUAUCCUACUAUAUUAUUUGGGAAGUACAUUUUAAAUAUAACCUUAAUUUUUGUAAGUAAUUACAUAUGUAUGCCAUUAGAAAUAAAAUUUUAAAGAGUAAAUUAAUUUAUCUCUUUAAAGAUUAAAAAGUCAAAUACUAAUUUAAUUAAUUAAAUUUAAUUAAAAAACGAAAUACAUUAUUAAUUUUCAAAAAUAAUAACCAAUCAAAAUCAACAUAUAAGAUUUGAUAUCUAAAUUUUAAUUAAUUUAAUUUAAUUAGAAAAACGAAAUACAUUAUUAAUUUCCAAAAAAGUAACCUAUUAAAAUCAACAAAUUAGAUUUGAUAUCUAAAUUAUCAUAUUAAUUUUUUAUUAAUUAUUAUAGUUCAUUUCUCAUCUUUAUAUGAUUCUAUUUUUGCGAAAAAUAAUAUCAUCAUUAUAAAAAAUAAUUAAAGUUUUUUCGCAUAUGCCAUAAUUUGAAUUUUUGAAAAUUGUGAAUAUAAACUGUUCAAUACAUGAAAAAAUAUUAUAACGGGUGAAAAAUAGAUUUAAGAAAACUUUCUACUGAGUAAGGGUCAUAUUUAAAAUAUUUAUAUUCAAUUUCAUACAUAUUAUAUUGAAAAUUUAUAAUCUUAUAUAGUACAAUAAUUAAUAACAUAUUAGAUUUUUUUAUGUGUAUGAUGUGAUUCAAUUUUUAAUACAAGCUGGAAAAUCCUAGAAUUGACGGGUUUAGAUCGAUAUUAAUACAAGAUGGUAUACUACAGGUGAACUCUUAAAUUAACAAUCAAACUACAAGUGUAUAAUCUUAAACACUAAACAAUAUAGAUAAUAUCAACAAAACAUAUACAACUCACAGUUUACUUUUAAUAUUUUAUAUACAAAAUUAAUUAAAUCUUAAUUAAAUCUUAAUCACAUAAAAAUUAGCACAAAAAAGUAUUCAACAAUUAAAAAUUUAUCAAAUCUCUGUGUUAUAUAAGUUUUGAUACUAUAUUCGAAUAAAGUGUAAUAUACAUUUUUAAUUUGUAUUCUUUAACUAAUUUAAGCUAACUAAUAUAUUUGCUAAUCUUAUACCUAUCAAAACCGACUAUCGUUUCUUAUCUUUAUAGUAUUUUUGCAAGACUUUUUUGGUGGAUUUGGGUAAAAGUGCAUUCGGGUCAUAUGGUACAUUCCCCUAUUAAAUAAAAAUGGUAUACUCCUACGUUAUUAGCUAAAAUGUUUAGAUUAUAAUUCAGAGUCAUAUCAUUAAUAAAGUUAAUAUUAAUAUAAUAAAUGGCUUUUUGGCAAGACGGAUUUGGAGUGACGGGUUUUUGAAUCAACAUUAAUAAAAAAGUAAAAUAUAAUUAAUACACCGUUUCAAUACGGGUUAAAUCUUUAAUUUAUUAUUUUUUAAGACCACUAAUAUUAAACAUAUCAAAUCAUCCUAAUUUAGAAAAGAUUAGAUAAAACCAAAAAUGUUAUGUGGUAUGUAUAAUGUUACUAUAUAUAAAAUAUAAAUGUAUUAGAGAAUGAUAUAAUUUGCAAAACUUUUAUCUAUAAAAAAUAAUUUUUAAAUUUUAAAAAUUACUACUUUAAAAAAAAAAAUCACGGGACGGGUAAAGAAAUUAUAGAACGGGUUUUAUUUUGGAAUUGGGUUAUAUGGUGGAUGUAUUUGAAUCAAUAUUUAUAAAAUUUUAAAUAAUAUUAAUAUGCUGUUUUAAUAGGGGUUACAACUUCAGUUUUUUAACAAUUGUCUCAUACAUUCGUGGUAUAGCUUUAGUUAAUAACAAUUAUAAACUGUAAAAUAUAAAUAUUUUAUAAAAAUAAAAUUUACAAAUUUUAAUAUAUAUUACUUUUAAAAAAUAAAUCGUACCGCGGUAUAUCGCGGGUUAAAAUCUAGUUUAUGUUGUAUAAGUUAAACAUUUGUUGUUCUACUAUGUUCUUGUUUUUUUCUCUAUAUGGUGAUGUCUAAUAAAAGUAGUAAGCAGAUUAUAAUGUUAUCUCUUUAAAUUCGGGGUUUGUACAAAUGUAAGUAGUAAGCGGAUUUUUAAUACAUAUUUUAGGAGUAUCCAAUUUUGGUGAUGCUAUCUUUAAUUUGGAUAUUUGAAAAUCUACAUACAAAUAAUCAUGAGGGAAGAACCACAAAAAAUGAGGGACAUGAAUUAAGUGAGUAUACAACAAUAACAAAUAAAUAUAUACUACAAGUAUAAUUUUUUUUAGAAGUAAUUGUCCCUUCAUUCAAGAAUUGGUCACAUAUAAUCAUCAUUCAUAUGGUUUAUAUAUAUAUAUAUAUAUAUAUAUAUAUAUAUAUAUAUAUAUAUAUAAUUAGGGAUGCAUAUACAUACAUACAUCCAUACAUACAUACAUACACACAUACACACAUACAUGCGUGCGUAUAACAUAUAGUUCCAUAAUGUAACAAGAAUAAUCAAAAGAAAAUACCAUAUGGUUGUAGGUUUUUAUUAUGUACAAAACCUCCAUAAAUCCAGGAAAUAACUCCUUGUUUUUCCCCUUCCAUCUUUAAGUAUAAAUAACACUAGUGUGCAUGUAUUUUCAUAUAUAUUCACCUUGCAUCUUUUUCAUCUCUCUAUCACUAUUUCUAGAGAUCAAUCUGACAACUUGAAGAAGUAGAAGCAGCAUGAGCAUUUGAAUACUCUUCUCCCAUUUCAACAACCCUUUCAGAAUCAUUCUCCGGCAAAUUUAUUCCCUCAUCUAUCACAUGAUAACC